rnacentral:rRNA from 1 species
CAUUAGCGGAGGAAAAGAAACCAACAGGGAUUGCCCUAGUAACGGCGAGUGAAGCGGCAACAGCUCAAAUUUGAAAUCUGGCCCUAGGCCCGAGUUGUAAUUUGCAGAGGAUGCUUUUGGCAAAGCGCUUACCGAGUCCCCUGGAACGGGGCGCCACAGAGGGUGAGAGCCCCGUAUGGUAUGACGCCGAGCCUCUGUAAAGCUCCUUCGACGAGUCGAGUAGUUUGGGAAUGCUGCUCUAAAUGGGAGGUAAAUUUCUUCUAAAGCUAAAUACCGGCCAGAGACCGAUAGCGCACAAGUAGAGUGAUCGAAAGAUGAAAAGCACUUUGAAAAGAGGGUUAAAUAGCACGUGAAAUUGUUGAAAGGGAAGCGCUCGUGACCAGACUUGCGCCGGGCGGAUCAUCCAGCGUUCUCGCUGGUGCACUCCGCCCGGCUCAGGCCAGCAUCGGUUUUCGCCGGGGGACAAAAGCUUCGGGAACGUGGCUCCCUUCGGGGAGUGUUAUAGCCCGUCGUUUAAUACCCCGGCGGGGACCGAGGACCGCGCUUCGGCAAGGAUGCUGGCGUAAUGGUCAUCAGCGACCCGUCUUGAAACACGGACCGAGGAGUCAAGCAUUAGUGCGAGUGUUUGGGUGUAAAACCCGCACGCGUAAUGAAAGUGAACGUAGGUGAGAGCUUCGGCGCAUCAUCGACCGAUCCUGAUGUUUUCGGAUGGAUUUGAGUAGGAGCAUUAACGCUUGGACCCGAAAGAUGGUGAACUAUACUUGAAUAGGGUGAAGCCAGAGGAAACUCUGGUGGAGGCUCGCAGCGGUUCUGACGUGCAAAUCGAUCGUCAAAUUUGAGUAUAGGGGCGAAAGACUAAUCGAACCAUCUAGUAGCUGGU